UGGAUCAAACGCUAGCGGGAGGCUUAACACAUGCAAGUCGAGGGGUAACAUUGGAGCUUGCUUCAGAUGACGACCGGCGCACGGGUGAGUAACGCGUAUGCAACCUACCUCAAACAGGGGAAUAGCUCAGGGAAACCUGGAUUAAUACCCCAUAAUAUUUAGAUUUGGCAUCAGAUUUAAAUUAAAACUCCGGUGGUUUGAGAUGGGCAUGCGUGACAUUAGCUAGUUGGUAAGGUAAUGGCUUACCAAGGCUACGAUGUCUAGGGGUUCUGAGAGGAUGAUCCCCCACACUGGUACUGAGACACGGACCAGACUCCUACGGGAGGCAGCAGUGAGGAAUAUUGGUCAAUGGGCGCAAGCCUGAACCAGCCAUCCCGCGUGUAGGAAGACUGCCCUAUGGGUUGUAAACUACUUUUUAUAAAGGAAGAAACCCUUCUACGUGUAGAAGGCUGACUGUACUUUACGAAUAAGCACCGGCUAACUCCGUGCCAGCAGCCGCGGUAAUACGGAGGGUGCAAGCGUUAUCCGGAUUUAUUGGGUUUAAAGUGUGCGUAGGCGGGCCUAUAAGUCAGUGGUGAAAGACUGUGGCUCAACCAUAGAAUUGCCAUUGAAACUGUUUUACUUGAAUAUAGAUGAGGUAGGCGGAAUGUGUAGUGUAGCGGUGAAAUGCUUAGAUAUUACACAGAACACCGAUUGCGAAGGCAGCUUACUAAUCUAUUAUUGACGCUGAUGCACAAAAGCGUGGGUAGCGAACAGGAUUAGAUACCCUGGUAGUCCACGCCGUAAACGAUGAUCACUCGUUGUUGGCGAUACACAGUCAGCGACCAAGCGAAAGCAUUAAGUGAUCCACCUGGGGAGUACGACCGCAAGGUUGAAACUCAAAGGAAUUGACGGGGGCCCGCACAAGCGGAGGAACAUGUGGUUUAAUUCGAUGAUACGCGAGGAACCUUACCUGGGCUUAAAUGUAGAACGACCGCCGCCGAAAGGGUACUUUCUUAGGACGCUUUGCAAGGUGCUGCAUGGCUGUCGUCAGCUCGUGCCGUGAGGUGUCGGGUUAAGUCCCAUAACGAGCGCAACCCCUAUCAUUAGUUGCCAGCGGGUUAUGCCGGGGACUCUAAUGAGACUGCCGUCGUAAGGCGAGAGGAAGGUGGGGAUGACGUCAAGUCAGCACGGCCCUUAUGUCCGGGGCUACACACGUGUUACAAUGGCCAGUACAGAGAGCUGCCACCUGGUGACAGGGAGCUAAUCUUCAAAACUGGUCUUAGUUCGGAUUGAAGUCUGCAACUCGACUUCAUGAAGCUGGAUUCGCUAGUAAUCGUAGAUCAGCAACGCUACGGUGAAUACGUUCCCGGGCCUUGUACACACCGCCCGUCAAGCCAUGGAAGCCGGGAGUGCCUGAAGUCUGUAACCGCAAGGAUCGGCCUAAGGUAAAAUGUAACUGGGGCUAAGUCG
rnacentral:rRNA from 1 species